rnacentral:rRNA from 1 species
AGGCAGCAGUGGGGAAUAUUGGACAAUGGGCGCAAGCCUGAUCCAGCAAUACCGCGAGUGUGAAGAAGGCCUUAGGGUUGUAAAGCACUUUCAAUUGGGAGGAAAACCUACCGGUCAAUACCCGGUAGCUUGACAUUACCUUUAGAAGAAGCACCGGCUAACUCCGUGCCAGCAGCCGCGGUAAUACGGAGGGUGCGAGCGUUAAUCGGAAUUACUGGGCGUAAAGCGUGCGUAGGCGGUUCGUUAAGUCAGAUGUGGAAGCCCUGGGCUCAACCUGGGAACGGCAUUUGAAACUGGCGGACUAGAGUUUAGUAGAGGGGAGUGGAAUUUCAGGUGUAGCGGUGAAAUGCGUAGAUAUCUGAAGGAACACCAGUGGCGAAGGCGACUCCCCUGGUCNAGAACUGACGUGA